CUACGGGAGGCAGCAGUGGGGAAUAUUGCACAAUGGGCGGAAGCCUGAUGCAGCGACGCCGCGUGAGGGAUGAAGGCCUUCGGGUUGUAAACCUCUUUCAGCAGGGACGAAGCGUGAGUGACGGUACCUGCAGAAGAAGCACCGGCUAACUACGUGCCAGCAGCCGCGGUAAUUCA
rnacentral:rRNA from 1 species